UGAGGAAUAUUGGUCAAUGGGCGGGAGCCUGAACCAGCCAAGUCGCGUGAGGGACGACGGUCCUAUGGAUUGUAAACCUCUUUUGUCGGGGAACAAAGGCGCCCACGGGUGGGCGGAUGAGUGUACCCGAAGAAAAAGCAUCGGCUAACUCCGUGCCAGCAGCCGCGGUAAUACGGAGGAUGCGAGCGUUAUCCGGAUUUAUUGGGUUUAAAGGGUGCGUAGGCGGACAGUCAAGUCAGCGGUAAAAAUGCGGUGCUCAACGCCGUACAGCCGUUGAAACUGGCAGUCUUGAGUGGGCGAGAAGUAUGCGGAAUGCGUGGUGUAGCGGUGAAAUGCAUAGAUAUCACGCAGAACUCCGAUUGCGAAGGCAGCAUACCGGCGCCCGACUGACGCUGAGGCA
rnacentral:rRNA from 1 species